GAGGAGGGUCGGGCGGGUCUCAGCCUCUCCUCGCCCCCAGGCUCCCACUCCAUGAGGUAUUUCUACACCGCCGUGUCCCGGCCCGGCCGUCGGGAGCCCCUCUUCAUCGCCGUGGGCUACGUGGACGAUACGCAGUUCGUGCGGUUCGACAGCGACGCUGAGAGUCCGAGGAUGGAGCCGCGGGCGCCGUGGGUGGAGCAGGAGGGGCCGGAGUAUUGGGACCGGGAGACACAGAACAUGAAGACCGCGACACGGACCUACCGAGGGAACCUGCGGACCCUGCUCCGCUACUACAACCAGAGCCAGGGCGAGCCGUUUUCCCAGUCCACCAUCCCCAUCGUGGGCAUCAUUGGUGGCCUGGUUCUGCUUGGAACUGUGGUCACUGGAGCUGUGGUUGCUGCUGUGAUGUGGAGGAGGAAGAGCUCAGAUAGAUAAGGCGGGAGCUACUCUCAGGCUGCAAGCAGUGACAGUGCCCAAGGUUCUGAUGUGUCUCUCACGGCUUUAAAGUGUGAGACAGCUGCCUUGUGUGGGAUUGAGAGGCAAGAUUUGUUCACACCUUCUCUUUGUGACUUGAAGAACCCUGACUUUCUUUCUGCAGAGGCACCUGAAUGUGUCUGUGUUCCUGUAGGCAUAAUGUGCAACUUGGUGAGAGGCCCUGAGUCCGAAGCUCACAGAGAAACCUCUCCUGGAUUCCUGACCAUUGGAAACUGUGGGAGGUGCGACCUGGACCCGGACUGGAGCCUCCUCCGCGAGUAUGAACAUAACCUACGACGGCGCCAGUUACCUUGUCCUAAACCAGGAACUGCGCUCUUGGACCCCAGAGGACAAGGCGGCUCAGAUGCCCUGGCGGAGGAACAUGCAGAGCUGCUGAAAACCUACCCGCAGGGAAGGUGGCCGGAGCGGCUCAGCAAAGGCCUUAAGAAUGGGAAGGAGAAGCUGCAGUGCGCAGAUCCCCCAAAGACACGUGUGACCCACCACCCCAUCUCAGACCAUGAGGCCACCCUGAGGUGCUGGGCUCUGGGCUUCUACCCUGUAGAGAUCACAAUGACCCAACAGAGGAAUGGAGAGGACCAAAUUUAGGAUGCACACUUCUGGGGACCAGACCUGCAGGGUACAGAAACUUCCAGAAGUAGGCAACUGUGGUGGUG